rnacentral:rRNA from 1 species
CCUACGAGGAGGCAGCAGUGAGGAAUAUUGGUCAAUGGGCGCGAGCCUAAACCAGCCAAGUCGCGUGAGGGAAGACGGCCCUACGGGUUGUAAACCUCUUUUGCCGGGGAGCAACGGGCGCCACGUGUGGCGCCACUGAGAGUACCCGGAGACAAAGCAUCGGCUAACUCCGUGCCAGCAGCCGCGGUAAUACGGAGGAUGCGAGCGUUAUUCGGAUUUAUUGGGUUUAAAGGGAGCGUAGAUGGGAUGUUAAGUCAGUUGUGAAAGUUUGCGGCUCAACCAUAAAAGUGCAAUUGAUACUGGCAGUCGUGAGUACAGUGGAGGUAGGCGGAAUUCGUGGUGUAGCGGUGAAAUGCUUAGAUAUCACGAAGAACUCCGAUUGCGAAGGCAGCUGACUAAACUGCCACUGACAUUGAUGCUCGAAAGUGUGGGUAUCAAACAGGAUUAGAUACCCUAGUAGUC